AGAUACCGUCCCUUUGCUUCCGGACUUUUAUAAGUUGUAGACUAUGCAUAUAAUGCAAGUUAACUUUUACUUCCUUGUACACACAGAAAGAGGAACUGACCGUUUUGCGGCUGGCCCUUUUGUCAACACUUUACAUCCUCUCCAGCUUCCAACUAUCAAAUCAUGAGCAGAUAGAAAAACUAGUUUGCAGAGCCGAAAAGAACCGUUCUUCACUUGUAAGCUGCAGAGAUGGCUAGUUGGGGGCAGCAGGGUGAGAUGACAGAGUACAAGAAGAUUCUGAUCAAACGGGACCUGGAGAUGGGCAUGGUCAUGACGGUGUUUCGGCAGAAGGCGGAGCGACUCACUGUGCAGGUCAUCAUGGAGACCCGGCAGGUGGCAUGGACACGCACUGCAGACAAGACUGAUGGUGUCUUGGACCUGUUUGAGAUCAGAGAGGUUCGUCCAGGGAGGAACUCAAAGGAUUUCGAGCGCUUUAAAGAUGGAAAGGACAAACAUGAAGAAAAAACCUGCUUCACAAUCUUUUAUGGCUCACAGUUUGUCCUGAACACGCUCAGUCUGGGAGCGGAUUCUGUGGAAGAGGCAGAAAAAUGGCUGAUAGGACUAGAACUCCUGAGGCAAGAGACACUGGAAGCUCCAACUCCAGUUCUUAUAGAGAGUUGGCUGAGGAAGCAGAUGUAUUCUGUCAAUCAGACAAAAACAAACAGUAUCUCCAUGAAGGAGCUGAAGGCUCUGCUUCCUUUGCUUAACUACAAGGUCCCCAGCUCUCGAGUCCUCAAAGACAAAUUCCAGGAAAUUGGAGCGAAAAAAGACAAGCUGGACUUUGAGCAGUUUCAUAAAUUAUACAACCAUAUCAUGUUUGAACAGAACGAGAUCCUCGAUGAGUUCAAAAAGGAAUCCUGUGCUUUCAUUCUUGGUAACACAGAUAAACCCGACGCUUCAGCAGUGCUGCUUCACGACUUCCAAAGAUUCCUCAUCUACGAGCAGAAGGAGCAAUGGGCCAGUGAUCUGAACCAGGUCAGAGAAGUGAUGACCACCUUCAUCGACGACACCAUGAGAAAAACCAAUGAUCCAGAAUUCACUGUCAGCGAGUUUCUCAGCUUCCUGUUUUCCAAGGAGAACUCUGUGUGGGACGAGAAGUUCUCAGAGAUCAGCAACCUUGACAUGAACAAUCCUCUGUCCCAUUACUGGAUCAACUCCUCACACAACACCUACCUGACAGGUGAUCAGCUUCGUAGUGAGUCAUCCACAGAGGCUUAUGUUCGCUGUCUGCGUCUGGGAUGUCGCUGUGUCGAACUGGACUGCUGGGAGGGGCCUGGGGAACCGAUCAUCUACCACGGCUGGACCAGGACCACAAAGAUCAAGUUUGAGGACGUGGUCAAAGCCAUAAACAAUCACGCUUUUGUCACCUCAGAGUUUCCGUUGAUCCUGUCCAUUGAGGAGCAUUGUCCCUUAGAGCAGCAGCGUCAGAUGGCUCGUAUCUUCAGAGAUGUGUUUGGAGACAAACUGCUGACUGAACCUGUGGAGCAGAUGGCAGAGCAGCUGCCUUCACCUACACAGCUGAAGGGAAAGAUCAUACUCAAGCACAAGAAGCUUAGUGUGGAGGGAGGAGGUGUCAGUCGAGACUUCAGGAAGGGGCAGAAACAGGGAGACCUGGAGAUCUGGGACCCUGUUGAUCAGCGGUGGAACAAGCACUACUGCGUGAUCUCUGAUGACAAGCUGUACUACGCAGAGGAGUACGAGGAGGAAGAAGAGGAUCCCAAGAAGUACCAGGACCUGCACACUUCAGAGCCAUGGUUCCAUGGUGGCAUGAAGGAAGGCAGGCAGAUGGGCGAGCAACUGAUCAGUGAUUUCUGUGCAGAGACCGGGGGAAGAGACGGGACCUUCUUGGUCCGAGAAAGUUACACUGCUGUCACAGGCUACACCCUCUCUUUCUGGCGCAAUGGGAGGGUGCAACACUGCCGUAUUCGCUCAGGUCAAGAGGGGGGUUACACCUACUACUUCCUGACUUCAAACCUGAACUUUCCCAGCGUGUACUCCCUGAUCCAGCACUACAGAGACAACCCUCUUCGCAGCCAAGACUUUGAACUGCGCCUCACUGAUGCUGUGCCACAGCCCAACCCACAUCUACAUGAAGGGUGGUUCUACAGUAACCUGAGCAGAGGUCAGGCAGAGGAUUACCUGCUUAGGAUUCCCAGAGAUGGAGCAUUCCUCAUCCGAACCAGAGAGGGCGAGCCAGACUCCUAUGCCAUCACAUUCAGAGGUGAUGGUAAAGUAAAACACUGCCGCAUCAAGAAGGAGGGAAGCAUGUACCUGCUGGGCACCACUACAGAGUUUGUGAGCCUGGUAGAGCUGGUCAACUACUUCAAGAAGAAACCGCUGUAUCGGAAGAUCAAGCUACGUUACCCAGUCACCCUUGAGCUGGUGGACCGCUUCAGCACAGAGAAAGACUGUGCCUCUCUGUACGAGGUGAAGACAUACGUGGAACCAAACGAGAUUGAACCAGCACUGCCUGUAAGUACAGUUAAGGCUGUAUAUAGCUAUCAUGCUGAGAGGCCGGAUGAACUGAGCUUCACUAAAGGAGCACUGAUCCACAAUGUAGCAAAAGAUAAUGAUGGAUGGUGGAAAGGGGACCAUGGUGGAAAGUUGCAGCUGUUCUUCCCUUCUAACUAUGUGGAGGAGUUGUUCGACAACACCAGGAGGGAGAGCAAGGACCAGGACAUGGAAGACAACCCACUAGGUGAACUAUGUAAGGGUGUUGUGGACAUCUCGAAGUGCAACAUUCAGAACUUGAAGAAUGGUAAAAAUGGGAAGUCCCAUGUGUUGACACUGCAGAAUACCGAUCAGGACAAUCUGCAGUUUGACUUGGCAGCAUGCUCUCUGGAGGAGUUGUUUGAAUGGUACCAGGUGGCCUGGGACAUCACUCAGAGUGCCAUGAGUAUGCAGUACAACAGGGAGCAAGAGAUCAGACAGCAGGAGGAAGUGGAGAAGAAGGCAGAGGUUGCCAUGGAGAUGUCGGACCUGGUGGUCUACUGUCAACCACGCAGCAAAGAGAAGGACCGCUUUGACAGUUACAACUACAAAGAGAUCCGGUCCUUUGUUGAGAACAAGAUCCCUGGAAAGAGCCGAACCAAGGACUUCUUGCAGUACAACCGCAAGGCUCUGAGUCGAAUUUACCCAAAAGGCCAGCGUGUGGAGUCCUCCAACUAUGAUCCUUAUCCACUGUGGGCUCUUGGCUGUCACAUGGUGGCUCUUAACUUCCAGACUGCAGAUAAAUACACCCAGCUGAACAGCGCCCUCUUCAGCCUGAAUGGAGGGACUGGUUAUGUGCUGCAGCCGGAGCUCAUGCGCUAUGACAGCUAUGACCCCCAGCAGGAGAAGAAGACGGUCAAGUACAACAUUGUGGUUAGGGUGAUUGCUGCCAGACACCUUCCCAAACCUGGCCGCAGCAUCGCCAGUCCAUUCGUGGAGAUCGAGCUGUGUGGACACACAGAAGAGAAGUUCAAGACCGUUGUCUAUCGUGAUAACGGUCUAAAUCCCGUGUGGAAAGCUCCAGCACAGCCGAUCGUCUUCUCCGUGUACGAGCCUGAACUAACCUUCCUGCGCUUUGUGGUGAACGAGGAGGACAUGUUCUCAGACCCUAAUUUCCUGGCCCAUACCACACUUCCUGUAAAAGGCCUCCGCUCAGGUUACCGCUCUGUACCUUUAAAAAAUGGCUACAAUGAAAACUUAGAGUUAGCCUCUCUGCUGGUCUACAUCAAUGUACAGCAAGCAGGGGGGGGUUUCUUGUCUUUCAGAAAGCAGAGGAGGAGUUGUACUCGUCCUCCAGCCAGCUGAAGAAAAAGCAGGCCACGCAAAGCAGUGAACCUUUCAUGUAUGAUACACACAGCAACAUUCAGCGCGCCGCCGUCCCCCGUCAAAACCUCAGCAGAGAGUUCAGCACUAGCGAGAGACAAAGGACAAAAGAGAAGAAGAUAAACAACAGUAAGUUCUACUCGUGAGCACGCGGGAAAAUCUCACCUGUCUGCCACGCUUCCUGUUUGAGCAAAGGAGAAAUGUGGACCUCAGAUCUAAUGUCAGCACAGCGCAACGUAUUUAUUCAAGGUUUUUGAUGUGAAGGUAAAUCAAGGAACUUUGGUGCCCAAUCUUAAUUUUGUCUGUGAGACUGUAAUGGUGAUAUCAUCAUUUUUGGGAAUUGUGGGACUGCCUUUAAUAAUGCCAGGUGAGGCAGAUGAAUUGUUUUUCUUCUUUAUAGGAUGUGAGAUAGUAAAAUUUCUAUUAAGAUGUCCCUAAUAACACCCCCCCCCCAUUGAGUCUGUGGUCAUGUUAGAGGUGGGCUACACUGAUGACAGAACACCGUAGAUAUUUAUUUUGAAUGAAUGAGGCAUGUUUACUGACCAAAAGAAUAGUUUCACUUCUGUAAAGUAGAACAGUUUUAUGGGCCACAAAGCUUGUGAAGAAUUCAACUGCAUGGUGUCUUAUCUUUAUGACUUUUGAGUGUAAUAAUUAGUCCAAUGUUUGCUGUGUGUUUGUAUCAGUGUCCUCUGUUCUGUAACUCCGACAGUAACGUCAGAUUGAUAACAGGUGGCUUAAUCCCACAAAAAUGAAAAGUUUCAUACAUUUUCUCUGAAGCUCAGUCACAUUUGUAACUUUUCUAUUUUUCCUCUGUGACCUUCUAUUAAAUAAAUUCAUUAAAGUAUGCUCGUUGAACUAUA